rnacentral:rRNA from 1 species
UACGUAGGGGGCUAGCGUUGUCCGGAAUCAUUGGGCGUAAAGAGCGUGUAGGCGGCCCGGUAAGUCCGCUGUGAAAGUCGUGGGCUCAACCCUCGAAUGCCGGUGGAUACUGUCGGGCUAGAGUGCGGAAGAGGCGAGUGGAAUUCCUGGUGUAGCGGUGAAAUGCGCAGAUAUCAGGAGGAACACCGAUUGCGAAGGCAGCUCGCUGGGACGUAACUGACGCUGAGACGCGAAAGCGUGGGGAGCAAACAGG